AGUGAACGCUGGCGGUAGGCCUAACACAUGCAAGUCGAACGGCAGCAUAGUAAGAGCUUGCUCUUACGGGUGGCGAGUGGCGGACGGGUGAGGAAUACAUCGGAAUCUACUUUUUCGUGGGGGAUAACGUAGGGAAACUUACGCUAAUACCGCAUACGACCUACGGGUGAAAGCAGGGGAUCUUCGGACCUUGCGCGAUUGAAUGAGCCGAUGUCGGAUUAGCUAGUUGGCGGGGUAAAGGCCCACCAAGGCGACGAUCCGUAGCUGGUCUGAGAGGAUGAUCAGCCACACUGGAACUGAGACACGGUCCAGACUCCUACGGGAGGCAGCAGUGGGGAAUAUUGGACAAUGGGCGCAAGCCUGAUCCAGCCAUACCGCGUGGGUGAAGAAGGCCUUCGGGUUGUAAAGCCCUUUUGUUGGGAAAGAAAAGCAGCAGGUUAAUACCCCGCUGUUCUGACGGUACCCAAAGAAUAAGCACCGGCCAACUUCGUG
rnacentral:rRNA from 1 species